rnacentral:rRNA from 1 species
CGGCGGACGGGUGAGUAACGCGUGGGUAACCUGCCUCAUACAGGGGGAUAACAGUUAGAAAUGACUGCUAAUACCGCAUAAGACCACGGUACCGCAUGGUACAGUGGUAAAAACUCCGGUGGUAUGAGAUGGACCCGCGUCUGACUAGGUAGUUGGUGGGGUAACGGCCUACCAAGCCGACGAUCAGUAGCCGACCUGAGAGGGUGACCGGCCACAUUGGGACUGAGACACGGCCCAG